GCAAGCGCCUCCUGAAGAAUCGGGCACCAUGUGGGGAAACCCCGUGAGUGAAUGUGGUCAAACUCAAGGAAGCCUAAGUCUGGAAACCGAUAAGGUAAUCUUGAGCCAAGCUUUCCCUCUCAACGGGGAAAGAAGGUGCAGAGACUGGCUCUAGGGAAUAAUAAUUUUAUUCUUUAGACAAACGGCCACCACCUACGGGCGACACCCGCCUACGGUGAAGGAAUAGUCCAGAGAGUGGGGAAACUCACAC
rfam:Planktothrix agardhii NIVA-CYA 126/8 chromosome, whole genome shotgun sequence.